UACGGAGGGUGCAAGCGUUGUCCGGAUUUAUUGGGUUUAAAGGGUGCGUAGGCGGUCUUUUAAGUCAGCGGUGAAGUCCUCCAGCUUAACUGGAGAACUGCCAUUGAUACUGGAAGACUUGAGUACAGACGAGGUAGGCGGAAUUGACAGUGUAGCGGUGAAAUGCAUAGAUAUUGUCAAGAACACCGAUUGCGAAGGCAGCUUACUAGACUGUAACUGACGCUGAGGCACGAAAGUGUGGGGAUCAAACAGG
rnacentral:rRNA from 1 species